UUUGGGAGAGAGAGCACAAGCAGGUAGAGCCGCAGACAGAGGCAGAGGGAGAAGCAGACUCCCCACUGAGCAGGGAGCCCGAUGCGGGACUCGAUUCCAGGAUCCUGGGAUCAUGACCUGAGCCGAAGGCAGACGCUUAACCGAAGGCAGACGCUUAACCAACUGAACCACCCAGAUUAAGAAAAAAAAAAGGAGGGUUGAAAGGAAGGAUGUCCAAGAGCAGAGGGUCUUUUUGCCCCCAGAUCUGGAGCCAAUAAGGCUCACGCCUUCAUCCGGAGGUCUUGGGAGGCUGUCUUCUCAUGGUCCUUUGUGCACCAUUGCUUCUGCUUUUUUCCCAGGAGGAUGGAUCCCAAAGUUCUCUAACUCGGGCAGCUCCAGGAUCUGUUUCUGCUUGUGCAUUUCUGGUUUCUUUCCUGAAUCCAUAUCCAUCUGGGGCAAACAGCUAAGUCUGUCCAGGACCGUAGCAAUACCAUUAAACUAACGGAUGGAUGUGGUAACUGUGAGACGUUCUGUUGCAGAAUAUUCCCGCCAGACGGACGGUCUGCAGAGUGGUGGGCAGUGGGUGUGGGGGCUGAGUUGACGUUGUAAACUUCGGUAAAAUUCGAAGUGAAGAAAUCACAGAAUGUGAGGGAUAACGUAUGUUAGUGACCAACUGAUUUAAUGCCAUUAAUUUUACUGAAGAAGAUAGGGACCAAAAAUGUCUUCCUAUGAGGCUUCUAAGUAGAAGAGCAGAUAUUACCUACCUGACUUCCUGAUUCGAUUUCAGUGUUCUUUUCACAACCCACCACAUUUCACAGCGUUGUCCCCUGAAUUCAGGCUGCGUGACUAUUAGGACUGUUUGCUUUUGUGUUUACCCCAACCUCCCAUCAUAAUGUAACUUUUGUAAGUGCAUGAACUCUUCACUGAUAUUUCUGCAGCAUCUAGAAUAAUGUCCGGCACUCAGUAAAUAUUUGUGAAAUGGAAGAAAAAGUUCUAUAACUGUGAUAGGCCACGUUCAAUCUGGUUAAAGCCUGCACUCCAGGCAACCCCCUGAUAAGAUACUUGUAGGUAGGUCAAACCACCGCAUGCUCCUUUUUUCAGAUGGGUUGUUGAGUCAUUUCAGAUGGUACUCUACUACCAGAUUUUAAUGUUCUUUGAAAGAAAUAAUCGUACUUCAUAAUAAUAAGUGCUUAACAAAUGUCACUUCCUUUCCACCUCUCUUCUCUCUAGGGGAGGCUUCUUUCCCAGUAGCUGUUUAAUUUCUAAUUAACUUUACUAAUACUUUAAUAUGUUACUUUAAUACUUUAACGCCUAAAUACUUUACUCCUAAUACUUUAACUCUUAAAGUAUCUAGUAGGAUAGUGGAUGACCUAUUAAGAAAAUUUCCACAUGAAAACAGCACGAGAUUAUAAGAGAAACUAUCCACUUCAAGCUGUAGGUUCAACUGCUUGGAGCAGAGAGGCUGAGAGGCUCUGGCCUCCAGUGGGAACUCCGACCAGAGAUUCUGUCUCUGAGAGGUGGGGCUUCCAGGAUGGACUUUCCUAACCAGGGGUUCAGUUGGGUGAUGUCUCCCUCCUCUGAGUUCUGCCUGGACAAAGUCUGUAUCACAAUUAAGUUCUUUAUUGGUAUCUUAUUUUAAAAGCAUUUCAUGUAUAAGUUUUAUCUCACCAAUAAAAGUAAACUGUAUAAAUCUUGAGCACUGAAGAAAAAUAAGAGAGAAAAAUAUGAGAACUUGAGAGACAGAACACCAGAGAAUCCUCUCAGAGACAUUUACUAACAACAGGCCAUUUUUUUUUCUUUAAAAGGACAAUCUAGGGACGCCUGGCUGACUCAGCAGGUAGAGCAUGCUUGCGAUUGUGAGUUUGAGCCCCAUGGUGGAUGUAGAGAUCACUAAAAAUAAAGUGUUAAAAAAAUUAAAAAGGAGAAUCUAGUUAUCAGCUUAAUUUUGUAGGCAAAAACAUAAGAACUUCACAAGGCCCUAGAGGCUACAUGAAGAACUGUUUUUAAAAUAAUGGAUUAAAAGGUGAAAACAACACAAAUAUCCAUCAACAGAUGAGUGGAUAAACAAAAUGUGGUAUAUUCAUACAACGAAUAUUAUUCAUCCUUAGAACAAAAUUCUGAUACGUGCUGCACAGGGAUGAACCUUGAAGACAUUAUGCUGAGUGAAAUAAGCCAGACACAAAAGGACAAAUAUUGUUUGGUUUUACUUAUAUGAGGUACCUACACUAGGCAAACUCAUAGAGACAGAAAGGCAGAGAUAAAGGUUUCCAGGGACUGGGGGACGAGGGAAUGAGAAGUCACCGUUGAAUGGGUUCAGAGUUUCUGUUUGGGAUGAUGAAAAAGUUCUGGAACUUGAUAGUGGUGAUGGUCGUACAACAUGGGGAAUGUACUUAAUGCUAUUGAUACACUUACAAAUGGUUAAAACGGUAAAUUUUAUGUUAUAUUUUACACAAUUUAAAAAAAUGGAUCUUGCAUUUUCAAUUUCAAAAAUAUGUUCACUAUUAGAUAUUUGGGAAAUAAACCUAUAAACCAACAGAGAUAACCGCUGUUACCAUUUUAAUAUAUAUAUUCCCAGUGUUUUUCCUAUAGAUGUCCGUAUAUAUUAAAAUGGAGUCCUGUAGUACACAUCGUAUGACCUGCCCUUCGGUUUUCACAAUGGAUCAUGUAGACCCCUUAGCGUUAGACACGUACAUUUUACGAGUAACUAUGACAAGCACCCUUGUCUGUGUAUUUUGUCACACUGUUGAUUGCUUCCUAAUGGUAAAUUUCUUAAGAUGAUUUAAGAUCAAAUCAAGAGGAUUAGAGGGUUGAGGAAAACUAAGGCAGAAAUUUCUUGGACACCCAGAGUAGAUGAAACUCUAGAAUAGACAGAGAGAAGAAACAUGAUGAACAACUAAGAAAAGACAUUGGGUUUUA